AAAAUGUUAGCCUAGUAUUAAAAGAAGACAGUUUAAUGUAAGGAGAGACCUGAUGAAUCUGUUGAGUGCAACCCCGUUCCACAUGAUGGAUCCUUGGAGGGCCAACAAAGAGUAGUGGGAUCGCAUCUGUUUUCAAUAUUUUUGCCAGAGAGAGAUGAGCUGCUUUAAUUAAAUGAAAUAAUAAGUACAACUGUGUUUUUUCGAAAGGUUCAUUAACCAUGUUCGGACCUAACAGGUCUACCAUAGGUGAAAAAGAGUUCCUGCCUUUUGUUCACACUUCCAACAAUUAGGUAUUAAUGAGAUAUUUGUCUGAGUCCAUGAAUCUGCUAUCGUCCCUUCAAAAAAUUCAUUCAUCAGUGAG